GGCCCCGCCCACUGUAGAUGCGCUUCCGGCAAGGGCGGAGCCGAGGCCGGAAGCGGAAGAAGGGGACGCAGACCGGGAUCCAAGCUGUGCCACCCGAGACGUGGGCGGUCCCGGUGACCCGGAGCCAGAGCUCGAGCGGGACUGGCGAGCAGAAGUGAGGAGGGCUUCGCCUCGUCGGCGUCUGUGCGUGGGUCAAACAUCAGGGCCUCGACAAGGGGUACAUGGGCACCCCCUCACUGGAUUCCUGAUUCCUAGUGGCUGGCGGCGGCGGACACCUAAGCGUGUGAGCUGCUCGCCUGAGGAGUAGAGGAGCCCAUUUGCUGUACCUGUAAGGUGCAAGAAACCCACAGUCCUACGCCGUCAACAGGUGAACUCUGCCAACACCUGAGGGGGCAGGAAAUGGAUCCCCCAGAGAGGAGCACAUCCUGCUGCUGCCUGGAUCCCAGCCCGAUGAGCCUGGACCUGACUUCUGAGCCCUAGAGCCUGAGAUGAUAAAUGUGUGUUGUGUAAGACAGAGAGAGGGUAAGUGCCCAAUGUGGCCACUCCCUGGAGCCAGCAGAAGGUGGUCAGUGAUGUCAGCAGAGCAAGGAUGGGGUCGAGGUGAGGCUGCCCUGCCCUGCAACCUCUUGGGCCUUGAUGUCAAGCAGUCUGAGCACUAGGUGGAGAGUGCCACCUGGGCAUUCCAGACACAGUCGGGCCUCCCAAGCCCAGGAGGCAGAUGCUGAGCAACGCAGCAAGGAUUCCCUGCAAAGGGCCUGGCCCCAACUCCUUGCCCCGAGCCCAGGCACACUGAGAGAGAAGGCCCCACAAAGCCUCUUUACAGAUGGCCACAGUCUGUCCCAAAGAACACUUAGCACCCAACUGGAGCAAAAUGUGAGCUUGCUCCUGGCCUUGGGGACCCUGCCUUAACAACUAACUCUCUUCCACCCUGGAGUGGCAGGCCUCCCACCCUUGCUGGGGGUGCCCUGUGGGUGGCAGACACACUAGGACUCGGAUGUGGCUGAGGAGAGCCUCCUGCUCAGGCUCCAGGCCUGCUAAGUCCAGCAUGAACCCUGGGGGCAGGCCACAGGGGUGGGCAGCACCCAAGGUGGCCUCCCAGGGAGGUCAAAAAAGGAGGAGGCAGAACGAGCUGUGUCCAUCUGGGCUGGAGGCUGACCUCCAGACUGGAAAGCAGAAAAGUGCUGGAGAAGGAUAGGCAGGGAGCUGUCCAGACAGCACCAAAGGCCUGCAGCAGCAGGGAGGGGCCAGGAUGAGGACACUGGGAAGAAAAACAGACCCAAAAGACCCAAGGUAGCUCCUUCACAACCUGUCUUCUAUCCACCUUAGCCACUGCCCCCACAGGCCACCUGCCUUUGCCCUGUUUGUGGGAUGCCCUUGGCACCUAUCCGUCCGUCUGGGGAAGUACACUAGAUCCUAAUCCCAGCGUAGACACAGUUUGACUCCACAUGGGGAGCCACUCCAGGCGAUGCCCUCAAAGGAUGGCUUUAGGGCAGCUCUUCGGGCUCGCCAGGGCCACAUCUGUGGCCCACAGGCUAAUUGCAGUGUCUUGCUGUCAGGAAUAACCUGGCACAUUGGAGGCCCCCUCCUCCUUUGGAUUCUCCCUUGGGAUUAGUUCCCAGUCCCAAAAAAACCUCUCAAAACACCUGCCAAGUGGCUUUCCCAAAAGGGCAGGAAUCCCAGCGGGAACUGCACUUCUCCACUCUCACUUCUCCACUACGGACUCCUCAAUAGAUGCAGGUGAGUCUGCACUUCCUUAACCGUCAUGAAUACAAGUGCUGCCUUCCCUUUCUACCAACACUGACUGCUAUGCCCACUUAAUCUUCUUGUUUGGCCUCCUCAUUGCUGCAGGAAGUGCCUGGGAAGGGCGAAGGUGUCAGGUAGGGGCGGGGGGUGCACCUCCAUGCAGCUACUAGAAAGGCAGGGGUAAAUGCAGCAGAGAGCACUCAAGAAGCAGGUGGGACCUCCCUGAGGUGCCUGUUCCAAAGGCAUGCCGGCCAGGAAGUUAGCAGGUAGGACCAGGUGUGGCACAGGCAUACAUGCAGGUCCAGCCUAGCCGCCUGGGACAGGAGUGUUGAUGGAACUGACUUCACUGUCACACCGAACACGUUCAGAUCUUAGAAUGGAGAUCCAUGAGGCAUGAUCAGGUACACAUGGGCCAACGGGAAUGUGAAUGUCAAUCUCAGCUUUCUGAAAUCUCAGAGAAACCAAGUGGGGAGGCCUGGUCUCAGGCCAUGGGCAUCACAGCUAGCACAGAUACCGAGAAAGAAUGGUUUGCAUCCAGGCAGAGAGAGAACCAGGGGCCACCAGCACAGCCUUCAGCACACAGGCACCCACACUUCGGGGAUGCCCCGGGAACACAUGCAUGGGGGCGUGGAUGGGACAACUUCUCGCUCAAGACCACAGGAGGUCUGCAUGUCCCAGGGCUCUUCUGUGGCCAUCCUCCCACAUGAGAACUAAGAAAGGCUUCCAGAAAGGCUGGCAUCUUUUUCUCUGAGUGCCCCAUAGCCUGUGCUAAGCCACAAUUCCUGCCAGCCUAACUGGUGACAUGUGCUGUUCUGCUCACAGGAAAUGUGAAGAAGGUGGGGCUGGAUAUGCACAGAAACAGCCUGAGGGAGGGGCUGAAACCCCUCAGAAGCAGGCUGGGUCAGGCGCCUGGAGCUGCGUUGCGUGAGCAUGUAACACCUCAUUCUCCCACACCCCGGAAGCAGUGGGGAACCCUGUGUGUGACUUCACAGCACGCCAUGCUCCGUGAUUAAAUAUCCACCACAAAUCCUCCACGUUCCUGAAAAAUGAUACAGUCUGAAAUUUGCUACAGAAUCACCCCCUAGGGUGAGUGACAGGAGGGGAAAGGUGAAACAAAGUCACAUGGCUGUAAGCAGCCAUCUACUGAAGCAGGAUGGUUACCUUUCUCUACUUUUAUGCUUGAAAUCUGUCACAAAUAAAGAUGAGAAAAUA